rnacentral:rRNA from 1 species
GAGACAGCAGUAGCCGCGGGAACACAGAGGGUGCGAGCGUUAAUCGGAUUUACUGGGCGUAAAGCGUGCGUAGGCGGCUUUUUAAGUCGGAUGUGAAAUCCCUGAGCUUAACUUAGGAAUUGCAUUCGAUACUGGGAAGCUAGAGUAUGGGAGAGGAUGGUAGAAUUCCAGGUGUAGCGGUGAAAUGCGUAGAGAUCUGGAGGAAUACCGAUGGCGAAGGCAGCCAUCUGGCCUAAUACUGACGCUGAGGUACGAAAGCAUGGGGAGCAAACAGGAUUAGAUACCCCAGUAGUCCCUGUCUCUUAUAC